CAUCCUCUGAGGUGUCAAUCACAAGAGCUCCAAGGGUGGGAUUCCAGACGCCCGCCGUCUGCUCUCUUCCUGCGGCGGCGAGGCCCCGGCCGCCCUCCUCUGCCUCGCGUGCCCGGCUUCCCUGGCGGCGCUUGAGGUGGCGGCUUCGCUUGUGGCAAGCAGCCGCCGCGGGAAGGGAAGCCCGGAGCUAACCGCCCCCACUCCCAGCUAGUAUCCCACCAGGUUGAAAAGUUGCAGAGAUGGCCAGAUAAAAAUGAAGAUACAGGAAGAAAUGAUGCUGUUUUUUACUUAUAGAAGAGGAGAAACUCUUGAAGACACCCAGCUGAAGCUAGACAGCAACGUCUUCUAAAGAAUCUACCGUUCCUCCUAUUUUCACCCCAUGUAGCAGCUACAGGUUUAUGUUGAUGAAGAUUCUCAGUCCUCCAGGUGGAAUU